rnacentral:rRNA from 1 species
GUUUGAUCCUGGCUCAGGACGAACGCUUGCGGCGUGCUUGAGAUAUGCAAGUCGAGCGGGGUGCCCAUGCCGAGUUCCCUUCGGGGGACAAAGCGCGGGUACCUAGCGGCAAACGGGUGAGUAACACGUGAGCAACCUGCCCCGCUGACCGGGACAACUCCUCGAAAGGGGGGCUAAUACCGGAUACGAGGCGCCAUCGCAUGGCGGCGCCUGGAAAGAGGCAACUCACAGCGGGAGGGGCUCGCGGCCUAUCAGCUAGUUGGUGAGGUAACGGCCCACCAAGGCGACGACGGGUAGCCGACCUGAGAGGGUGACCGGCCACACUGGGACUGAGACACGGCCCAGACUCCUACGGGAGGCAGCAAUCGGGAAUCUUGCACAAUGGGCGAAAGCCUGAUGCAGCGACGCCGCGUGAGGGAUGAAGGCCUUCGGGUCGUAAACCUCUGUUGACGGGGACGAUAAUGACGGUACCCGUCCAGAAAGCCCCGGCUAACUCCGUGCCAGCAGCCGCGGUAAGUCGGAGGGGGCAAGCGUUGUCCGGAUUUAUUGGGCGUGAAGCGCGCGUAGGCGGCCCGUUAAGUCGGCUGUGAAAUUGCUGGGCUCAACCCAGCGAGGCCAGUCGAUACUGUCGGGCUAGAGUCCGGGAGAGGGAAGUGGAAUUGCUGGUGUAGCGGUGGAAUGCGUAGAGAUCAGCAAGAACACCGGUGGCGAAGGCGGCUUCCUGGACCGGUACUGACGCUGAGGCGCGAAAGCUAGGGGAGCGAACGGGAUUAGAUACCCCGGUAGUCCUAGCCGUAAACGAUGGUCACUAGGUGUUGGGGGUAUCGACCCCCCCAGUGCCGAAGCUAACGCAUUAAGUGACCCGCCUGGGGAGUACGGC